AUCCUUUUGUGGAUCAUAAGCCUGAUGAUUGGGUUUUCACACUGUGUGUGACAGGCCUCUCUCAAACCUGUUGCAUCGUGCACACAUUACCUGUCUGACA